UAGGGAAUAUUGGGCAAUGGACGAGAGUCUGACCCAGCCAUGCCGCGUGCAGGAAGAAGGCCUUCUGGGUUGUAAACUGCUUUUGAUCGGGAACAAAACACCUAUGCGUAGGGAUUUGAGUGUACCGAUAGAAUAAGCACCGGCUAACUCCGUGCCAGCAGCCGCGGUAAUACGGAGGGUGCAAGCGUUGUCCGGAUUUAUUGGGUUUAAAGGGUGCGUAGGCGGCUAUUUAAGUCAGUGGUGAAAUCCUGCAGCUCAACUGUAGAAUUGCCAUUGAUACUGGAUAGCUUGAGUACAGACGAGGUAGGCGGAAUUUAUGGUGUAGCGGUGAAAUGCAUAGAUACCAUAAAGAACCCCUAUUGCGAAGGCAGCUUACUAGGCUGUAACUGACGCUGAGGCACGAAAGCGUGGGGAUCAAACAGG
rnacentral:rRNA from 1 species